rnacentral:rRNA from 1 species
UGAAAUUUUUGUGUUUUAGGGGGUUUAGAAGAAGGUAGAAAAAAUAAUUUAUGAGAUUUUCUUUUGUAUUAGAGACUUUUGAAGUAGGUAUUAAUUAAUGGGCAGUUUUGGGUGUAAAAAAUUUUUUUGUUAGUAAUAUUUGGGUAUGUACCUUUGGUAUCAGGGUGUGUUAAAAUUUUUAGAUAUAUUUUGUUAUCCCGAAAGAGAAUGAGUUACAUAGCUAAGUCCCUAUUGUGGUAAAAAUAGGGGUAAUGGUUGUGGUAGAAGUGAGAUGCUAUCCGUAUUUUUAGAUAUCUGGUUUCUACAGAAAUCAUAGAGGUGGUCAUUAGUUUAUUUUGUUAGGCUAGUAGAAAGGUUGUUAGGGCUAAGCUUGACGUUCUAUUCCUAUAUUAAUAGCUGUUUUAAAUUAUGUUAGGCUUAAAAGUAGCUUUGUGUUUUAUAACAUAUUUUCUAUUUUGUGAUAUUAGUAAAUUAUGUAGUGGUUUCUAUAGCUAAGUCUAGAUGGUAAAAAUGAUACGAUUAGUAGAGUUAAUUUUGAGUUUUUAGGUUAGGUAUAAAUGGUAACGUAUAAAUUUUUUAGGUGUUGAAAAGGAACUCGGCAAAAUGAUUUUUUAACUGUUUAUCAAAAACAUUUCCUUAAGUUUGUAUUUAAGGUAAGUUCUGCCCCCUG